UGGCCUACGGGAGGCAGCAGUGGGGAAUAUUGGGCAAUGGGGGAAACCCUGACCCAGCGACGCCGCGUGAGGGAAGAAGGUUUUCGGAUUGUAAACCUCUGUCCUUGGUGACGAUAAUGACGGUAGCCAAGGAGGAAGCCACGGCUAACUACGUGCCAGCAGCCGCGGUAAUACGUAGGUGGCGAGCGUUGUCCGGAAUUACUGGGUGUAAAGGGGGCGCAGACGGCGAUGCAAGCCAGGAGUGAAAGCCCGGGGCCCAACCCCGGGACUGCGCUUGGAACUGCGUGGCUGGAGUGCAGGAGGGG
rnacentral:rRNA from 1 species